AUGGCGCGGCAGCGUACGUGCUCUGCCUCCGCGCUCGCGCUCGCCGUGGCGUUGGUCGUCGGAAUCCUGGCGUCCAUCCCUGUCGAGGUGGAAUCCAUCGGCGUGUGCAACGGGAUGCAAGGCGACAGCCAGUCCCUGCCAUCGCGGGCCGACGUGGUGCAGUUCUACGGGACCAAGGGCAUCAGCGCCAUGCGCAUCUACGCCCCGGACCCCGAGACGCUCCAGGCCCUCGGCGACACCGGCAUCGACCUCAUCAUGGACGUGGGCAACGGCAACCUUUCCGCCCUCGCCUCCGACGCCGGCUUGGCGGCGUCCUGGGUCCAAGAAAACGUGCUGGCCUACCCGCGCGUCAGCAUCAAGUAUAUCGCCGCCGGCAACGAGGUGGAAGGCGGCGACACGCAGAACAUCGUCCGGGCCAUGAAGAACCUCAACGCCGCGCUCUCCAAGGCCAGCCGCCCUGACGUGAAGGUUUCCACGGCGGUCAAGAUGAGCGUGCUCGCGUCCUCCUCGCCUCCCUCCAGCGGCGUGUUCAAAGACGCGUAUAUGUCGGAGGUGACCCAGCUGCUCAAGGACACCAGCGCGCCGCUGCUCGCCAACGUGUACCCCUACAUCGCCAAAAGGGACACCCCGACCAUCGACCUCAGCUUCGCGCUCUUCCAGCCGAACACCAACCCGGUGAACGACAACGGCAACGGCCUCACCUACACCAACCUCUUCGACGCCAUGGUCGACGCUAUGUACACGGCCAUGGAGCAGGCGGGUGCGUCGGACGUGCCCAUCGUGGUCUCGGAGAGCGGGUGGCCAUCCGCCGGCGACGACCUGGCAACCCCCACCAACGCGCAGGCGUACAACCAGAACCUGAUCGACCACGUCGGCAAAGGCACGCCCAAGAGGGCCGGGCCCCUGGAGACGUACAUCUUCGCCAUGUUCAACGAGAACCAAAAGGGAGGGCUCGAGACUGAGAGGAACUUCGGGUUGUUCAACGGCCCCGAUAAGACGCCGGUGUACCCUAUAAGGUUUACCAAUUAG
rnacentral:rRNA from 1 species